rnacentral:tRNA from 1 species
GGGGAUGUAGCUCAGUGGUAGAGCGCUUGCCUAGCAAGCGCAAGGCCCUGGGUUCAGUCCCCAGCUCCG